rnacentral:rRNA from 1 species
GAGAAGUCGUAACAAGGUUUCCGUAGGUGAACCUGCGGAAGGAUCAUUCACAUUAUUCUUGUGCUUAGCACUAUUUCUAUCGGUAUUUGGUUUUCCCAGCUAUAAUGGCUGAGAAUUUCUAGAUGCUGUUAGAAUUGUGACGGGACGGUUGUUUUUCAAUCGUCAACCCUCUGGUCUGGCUUCGGCUGGGCUUUGAGGGCGUUACACCCUACCCCUCCUGUAUUUUCCGCUUGACUAUUCAAACGGAUAAUAGAGGGUUACGCCUCAUAGCAAGUGUUUGAUGUAUCUGUGGGUUUUAUGUUCAUGGGUAACGUUGACCUUGUUGUGAGGAUGCCUUUUCCAACUCAUUUGAUGUGUUGGUCGAGGUUGCUAUGUUUCAUAGCCAUUGUUGCAAACACGCUGUUAAUUUAUUAACACGUUUUCUAAAAUUUAAACUGUCAGCGGUGGAUGUCUUGGCUCACACAACGAUGAAGGACGCAGCGAAGUGCGAUAAGCAUUGUGACUUGCAGACUUCUGCGAAUCAACAGAUUUCUGAACGUAUUAGACACACCACCUCUGCUUGCACGUGGUACUCCCAUUUCAGUGAACCUCAAAAUUCUAACCCAAUGCCCUUAUCAACUAACAGUUGGUUGGGUACCAGGUUGCGACUAACGCUCCGGUAAUGCUACUGGUUCGUUUAAUUUUCGUUAACGUUGCGUUUUUUGACCGCUUACUCUCUGAGUAAUGGAACUUUAGUUGUAACUUAUUACUUUUGUUCCGUUUUGCGCCCAAAUUUCGCCAACGUUGGCCAUUCCUUUGGAAUUUUAUUCGACGUCUAACGUUGAUAAUUUCCGUUCCUGAGAUUGGGUGAGAUGAUCCACUGAAUUUAAACAUAUAAUUAAGUGGAAGAGAAGAAAAUAAAUAUGAUUCCCCUAGUAACGGCGAGUGAAGC